CCCGAAGGGUGACGAAGCGACGCCGCGUGGGUGAGGAAGGCCUUCGGGUUGUAAAGCCCUGUCAGGAGUUAAGAAAUGUAAGUGCGCUAAUAUCGCAUUUAUUUGACGAAGGCUCCAAAGGAAGUCACGGCUAACUCUGUGCCAGCAGCCGCGGUAAUACAGAGGUGGCAAGCGUUGUUCGGAAUUAUUGGGCGUAAAGAGCACGUAGGUGGGUUUGUAAGUCAGAUGUGAAAGCCUUCUGUUCAACGGAAGAAUUGCAUCUGAAACUGCGAGUCUUGAGUGUAGGAGGGGAGAAUGGAACUUCUGGUGGAGCGGUGAAAUGCGUAGAUAUCAGAAGGAACGCCGGCGGCGAAAGCGAUUCUCUGGCCUAUUACUGACACUCAGUGUGCGAA
rnacentral:rRNA from 1 species